GAGGGUGAUCGGCCACAUUGGAACUGAGACACGGUCCAAACUCCUACGGGAGGCAGCAGUGGGGAAUAUUGCACAAUGGGCGAAAGCCUGAUGCAGCAACGCCGCGUGAGUGAUGAAGGCUUUCGGGUCGUAAAACUCUGUCCUCAAGGAAGAUAAUGACGGUACUUGAGGAGGAAGCCCCGGCUAACUACGUGCCAGCAGCCGCGGUAAUACGUAGGGGGCUAGCG
rnacentral:rRNA from 1 species